CGUUCGGAACGGACGCUAAUACCGCAUACGUCCUACGGGAGAAAGCAGGGUGACCUUCGGGCCUUGCGCUAUCAGAUGAGCCUAGGUCGGAUUAGCUAGUUGGUGAGGUAAUGGCUCACCAAGGCUACGAUCCGUAACUGGUCUGAGAGGAUGAUCAGUCACACUGGAACUGAGACACGGUCCAGACUCCUACGGGAGGCAGCAGUGGGGAAUAUUGGACAAUGGGCGAAAGCCUGAUCCAGCCAUGCCGCGUGUGUGAAGAAGGUCUUCGGAUUGUAAAGCACUUUAAGUUGGGAGGAAGGGCAUUAACCUAAUACGUUAGUGUUUUGACGUUACCGACAGAAUAAGCACCGGCUAACUCUGUGCCAGCAGCCGCGGUAAUACAGAGGGUGCAAGCGUUAAUCGGAAUUACUGGGCGUAAAGCGCGCGUAGGUGGUUUGUUAAGUUGAAUGUGAAAUCCCCGGGCUCAACCUGGGAACUGCAUCCAAAACUGGCAAGCUAGAGUAUGGUAGAGGGUAGUGGAAUUUCCUGUGUAGCGGUGAAAUGCGUAGAUAUAGGAAGGAACACCAGUGGCGAAGGCGACUACCUGGACUGAUACUGACACUGAGGUGCGAAAGCGUGGGGAGCAAACAGGAUUAGAUACCCUGGUAGUCCACGCCNGUAAACGAUGUCAACUAGCCGUUGGGAGUCUUGAACUCUUAGUGGCGCAGCUAACGCAUUAAGUUGACCGCCUGGGGAGUACGGCCGCAAGGUUAAAACUCAAAUNGAAUUGACNGGGGGCCCGCACAAGCGGUGGANGCAUGUNGGUUUAAUUNCGANUGCAACGCGAAGAACCUUNACCUNACCCUUNGACAUCCAGAGGACUUUCCAGANGANUGGANUUGGUGCCUUCGGGAACUNCUNGAGACAGGUGCUNGCAUNGGCUGNUCGUCAGCUCNGNUGUUGNUGAAAUGUUGGGUUAAGUNCCCGUANACGAGCGCAACCCCUAUCCUUAUUUGCCAGCGAGUAAUGUCGGGAACUCUAAGGAGACUGCCGGUGACAAACCGGAGGAAGGUGGGGACGACGUCAAGUCAUCAUGGCCCUUACGGGUAGGGCUACACACGUGCUACAAUGGCAAGUACAAAGGGUUGCAAUACUGCGAAGUGGAGCCAAUCCCAUAAAGCUUGCCUCAGUCCGGAUUGGAGUCUGCAACUCGACUCCCAUGAAGUCGGAAUCGCUAGUAAUCGUGGAUCAGAAUGCCACGGUGAAUACGUUUCCCGGGCCUUGUACACACCGCCCGUCACACCAUGGGAGUGGACUGCACCAGAAGUGGUUAGCCUAACCUUCGGGAGGGCGAUCACCACGGGUGUGGUUUCAUGACUGGGGUGAAGUCGUAACAAAGGUAAACCAAUCCACUAGUGAAUUC
rnacentral:rRNA from 1 species